rnacentral:rRNA from 1 species
UUCUGGUUGAUCCUGCCGGAGGUCACUGCUAUUGGGAUUCGACUAAGCCAUGCGAGUCGAGAGGGUUCGGCCCUCGGCUGACGGCUCAGUAACACGUGGAUAAUCUGCCCUAAGGUGGAGGAUAACCUCGGGAAACUGAGAAUAAUACUCCAUAGGCCUUGGAUGCUGGAAUGCACCAAGAUUGAAAGCUUCGGCGCCUUAGGAUGAGUCUGCGGACUAUCAGGUAGUAGUCAGGGUAAAGACCUGACUAGCCUACGACGGAUACGGGUUGUGAGAGCAAUAACCCGGAGAUGAUAUCUGAGACACGAUAUCAGGCCCUACGGGGCGCAGCAGGCGCGAAAACUUCACAAUGCGCGAAAGCGCGAUGAGGGAAUCCCAAGUGCUUGCACGUAAGUGUAAGCUGUUUCUAUGUUUAAAAUGCAUAGAGAGUAAGGGCUGGGUAAGACGGGUGCCAGCCGCCGCGGUAA